rnacentral:rRNA from 1 species
AUUGAACGCUGGCGGCAUGCCUUACACAUGCAAGUCGAACGGCAGCACGGGUGCUUGCACCUGGUGGCGAGUCGCGCACGGGAGAGUAGUCCAUCGGUACCUGUCCUGGAGUGGGGGAUAGCCCGGCGAAAGCCGGAUUUAUACCGCAUACGAUGCACGGAUGAAAGCGGGGGCCCUUCAGCCCUCGCGCUCUAGGGUUGGCCGAUGGCUGAUUAGCUAGUUGGUGGGGUAAAGGCCUACCAAGGCGUCGCCCAGUAGCGGGUCUGAGAGGACUAUCAGCCACACUGGAACUGAGAAGAGGUCCAGACUCCUCCGGGAGGCAGCAGUGGGGAAUAUUGGAGAAGGGGGGAAAGCCUGAUACAGCCAUGCCGCGGGAGUGAAGAAGGUCUUCGGAUUGGAAAGCGCUUUAAGUGGGGAGGAAGGGCAGGAAGUUAAGACCUUGCUGUUUUGACGGUACCAACAGAAUAAGCACCGGCUAACUUCGUG